CCUCAGCCUCCCGAGUAGCUGGGACUACAGGUGCCUGCCACCAUGCCCGGCUAAUUUUUGUAUUUUUAGUAGAGACGGGGUUUCACCAUAUUGGCCAGGCUGGUCUCAAACUCCUGACCUUGUGAUCCACCCACCUCGGCCUCCCAAAGCGCUGGGAUUACAGGCGUGAGCCAUCGUGCCCCGCUGACAGAGAGUUUUUUUUUUUUUUUAGAUAGAGACUCUGUCGCCCAGGCUGGAGUACAGUGGCGCGAUCUCAGCUCACUACACCCUCUACCUCCCAGGUUCAAGGAAUUCUCAUGCCUCAGCCUCCCGAGUAGCUGGGAUUACAGGCAUGCACCACCACGCCUACUUUUUUUGUAGAGACAGGUUUGUCAUGUUGGCCAGGCUGAUCUCCAACUCCUGGCCUCAAGUGAUCUACCCGCCUCGGCCUCCCAAAGUGCUGGGAUUACCAGUGUGAGCCACCAUGCCCAGCCUUAAGCUUUUUCAUAGCACAGUAACUUGAAAUCAAAGAUAUUGAAGAGAGGAACAAAUUAAUACUAAAAUACAAAAAUGUUCAAAUGAAAACUUUCUAUUAGGAAUAUGUAUAAAACUUCCAGAUAAUGCAAAUGCUGGCCAUAUUAAUGGAAACUAAUCAACAAAAUUGGAAAACUAACAAUUAUAAGAAAACUAGUCAAAUGUUCUUCAAGUUACUUCCUGUCAUUUACUCCAACAAACAGAAAAGACAACAGACAUUUCUAAUCAUCCCACCUGUAGUUAUUCCUUCAGAACAUUAUUUUUCAUUCAGUUAUUUAAUACAACUAACUAUUCAGCAAAAAGAUGGAAGAUCUGUAACUGUUCUACUGAAAUAUUCUACUGGCAACAUCAAGGCAAACAUCUAUUACCUAAAGCAGAGAUGUCCAAUCUUUUGGCUUCCCUGGGCCACACUGGAAAAAGAACUGUCUCAGGCCACACAUAAAAUACACUAACAAUAGCUAAUGAGCUGUUAAAAAAAUCUCAUAAUGUUUUGCUUUGUUUUUGAAACAAAGUCUGGCUCUAUCACCCAGGCUGGAAUGUAGUGGUGUGAUCUUGGCUCACUGCAACCUCCACCUCCCAGGUUCAAGCAAUUCUCCUGCCUCAGCCUCCUGGGUCCCAACUAGCUGGGAUUAC
rnacentral:lncRNA from 10 species